UACAGAGGUAUCAAGCGUUGUUCGGAUUCAUUGGGCGUAAAGGGCGCGUAGGCGGCGCGGUAAGUCGGGCGGGAAAUCUUGGAGCUUAACUCCGAAACUGCAUUCGAUACUGCCGGGCUUGAGGACUGGAGAGGAGACUGGAAUUUACGGUGUAGCGGUGAAAUGCGUAGAUAUCGAAAGGAAGACCAGUGGCGAAGGCGGGUCUCUGGACAGUUCCUGACGCUGAGGCACGAAGGCCAGGGGAGCAAACGGG
rnacentral:rRNA from 1 species